UACGAAGGGGGCUAGCGUUGCUCGGAAUCACUGGGCGUAAAGGGCUCGUAGGUGGCCAACUAAGUCAGACGUGAAAUCCCUCGGCUUAACCGGGGAACUGCGUCUGAUACUGGAUGGCUUGAGAUUGGGAGAGGGACGCGGAAUUCCAGGUGUAGCGGUGAAAUGCGUAGAUAUCUGGAGGAACACCUAUGGCGAAGGCAGCUCUCUGGGACGGUACUGACGCUGAGACGCGAAAGCGUGGGGAGCGAACAGG
rnacentral:rRNA from 1 species